UACGUAGGGUGCAAGCGUUGUCCGGAAUUAUUGGGCGUAAAGAGCUCGUAGGCGGUCAGUCGCGUCUGCUGUGAAAUCUCGGAGCUUAACUCCGAAACUGCAUUCGAUACUGCCGUGCUUGAGGACUGGAGAGGAGACUGGAAUUUACGGUGUAGCGGUGAAAUGCGUAGAUAUCGUAAGGAAGACCAGUGGCGAAGGCGGGUCUCUGGACAGUUCCUGACGCUGAGGCACGAAGGUCAGGGGAGCAAACGGG
rnacentral:rRNA from 1 species